AUGGCAGAGGAGAUUGCUGCUCUUGAACGCACUGGUACCUGGGAUCUUGUUUCUCUUCCUCCCGGAGUCCGUCCCAUCACUUGUAAGUGGGUCUACAAGGUUAAGACUCGCUCCGAUGGUUCUCUUGAGCGUCACAAAGCUCGUUUUGUGGCUCGUGGUUUUCAGCAGGAGCACGGUCGUGAUUAUGACGAGACUUUUGCUCCUGUGGCCCAUAUGACCAUUGUUCGUACACUUCUUGCCGUUGCCUCUGCACGCCACUGGUCUAUAUCUCAGCUUGAUGUUAAGAAUGCUUUUCUUAAUGGUGAGAUGCGUGAGGAGGUGUACAUGCAGCCACCACCUGGGUAUUCUGUUCCUGAUGGCAUGGUAUCUCGUCUUCGUCGCUCUCUCUAUGGCCUUAAGCAAGCCCCCCGUGCCUGGUUUGAGCGUUUUGCCUCUGUGGUCACUACUGCUGGUUUUUCAGCAAGUGCUCAUGAUCUAGCAUUGUUUAUUCACCUUUCUCCUCGUGGUCGGACUCUUCUUCUUCUCUAUGUUGAUGACAUGAUCAUCACUGGGGAUGACCCCGAGUAUAUUGCCUUUGUAAAGGCACGUCUUAGUGAGCAGUUUCUUAUGUCUGAUCUUGGACCUCUUCGCUACUUUCUUGGGAUUGAAGUCUCUUCUACCUCUGAUGCCUUUUUUAUAUCCCAGGAAAAGUAUAUCCAGGAUCUUCUUGCUCGUGCUGCUCUUACUGACGAGCGCAUUGUUGAGACUCCUAUGGAGCUCAAUGUUCACCUCCGUGCUACUGAUGGUGAUCCUCUCCCUGACCCGACGCGUUAUCAUCAUCUCGUUGGCAGUCUUGUCUAUCUAGCUGUCACACGUCCGGAUAUCUCUUAUCCGGUUCAUAUUCUGAGUCAGUUUGUCUCUUCUCCCACAUCGGUUCACUAUAGUCAUCUCCUUCGUGUUCUCCGAUAUCUUCGGGGCAUGAUCUCUCACCGUCUAUUCUUUCCUAGCUCCAGUUCUUUACAGCUUCAGGCCUAUUCGGAUGCUACGUGGGCUAGUGAUCCUUCCGAUCGCCGUUCACUUUCUGCUUACUAUGUUUUUCUUGGCGGUUCUCUCAUUGCCUGGAAGACGAAGAAACAGAUUGCAGUUUCCCGUUCGAGUGCUGAGGCUGAGUUGCGAGCCAUGGCUCUUUUGACGGCAGAGGUGACUUGGUUACGGUGGUUACUUCAGGAUUUUGGUGUUUCUGUCACUACACCAACUCCGCUCCUAUCUGACAGUACAUGUGCUAUUAGCAUUGCGUGCGAUCCUGUGAAGCAUGAGCUCACCAAGCAUAUUGGUGUUGAUGCUUUCUAUGUGCGCGCUGGUGUGCAGGAUCAGGUUAUUGCUCUUCAGUAUGUGCCUUCUGAGUUACAGUUGGCGGAUUUCCUGACGAAGGCCCAGACUAGAGCACAACAUGGCUUUUAUCUCUCCAAACUCAGUGUUGUUCAUCCACCAUGA
rnacentral:rRNA from 1 species